ACCUAUCCAUGAGCAGGCUGAAGUGAGAGUAAAAUCUCAUGGAGGGCCGAACGCACGUUCGUUGCAAUGACCGGCGAUGACUUGUGGUUAGCGGAGAAAUUCCAAUCGAACUCGGAGAUAGCUGGUUCUCCCCGAAAUAGCUUUAGGGCUAGCGUUAUCUUAGAUUACCGGAGGUAAAGCACUGAAUGGGCUAGGGGGCGAUAAGCUUACUGAACCCUAUCAAACUCAGAAUGCCGGCUAAUUGAUGGAUAGCAGUCAGACAGUGUGAGAUAAGUUUCAUUGUCAAAAGGGAAACAGCCCAGACCUACAGCUAAGGUCCCGAAUAGAUGCUAAGUGGAAAACGAUGUGGAGUUGCGAAAACAACCAGGAUGUUGGCUUAGAAGCAGCCACUCAUUAAAAGAGUGCGUAAUAGCUCACUGGUCGAGUGACUCUGCGCGGAAAAUAUAACGGGGCUAAGCAUGAAACCGAAGCUUGGGCUUGUACUUAGGUACAGGGGUAGGGGAGCGUCGAGUAUGGGGUGAAGUCAGAGCGGAAGCACUGGUGGACUGUACUGGAGUGAGAAUGCCGGAAUGAGUAGCGAGAAUUAUGUGGGAAUCAUAAUGGCCGAAAAUCUAAGGUUUCUUGGGGAAGGUUCGUCCGCCCAAGGUAAGUCGGGAGCUAAGCUCAGGCCGAGAGGCGUAGGCGAUGCACAUACGGUAGAAAUUCCGUAACCACCGAAACUUAAACAGAGGGACACUUCAGGAUAGCGGAACCCGGGCGUUGGUUGACCCGGGCGAAAGGGAGCGAAAUAAGAGUAGCGAAGUCCGCGAUGCCUGGAGGCGAGAAAAGCUCUGAGGUAUGCUAAGGUGCCCGUACCGCAAACCGACACAGGUAGAUGAGGAGAGAAUCCUAAGGCCAACGGGAGAAGGGUUGUUAAGGAACUCGGCAAAUUGACCCCGUAACUUCGGAAGAAGGGGAGCCCCCUACGGGGGGUCGCAGAGAAAUGGCCCAAGCAACUGUUUACCAAAAACACAGGUCUAUGCUAAAUCGAAAGAUGACGUAUAUGGGCUGACGCCUGCCCGGUGCCGGAAGGUUAAGAGGAGAUGUCAGGCAACGAAGCAUUGAAUUUAAGCCCCGGUAAACGGCGGCCGUAACUAUAACGGUCCUAAGGUAGCGAAAUUCCUUGUCAGGUAAGUUCUGACCCGCACGAAAGGCGUAAUGAUUUGGGCACUGUCUCAACAGCCCGCCCGGCGAAAUUGUAGUACUGGUGAAGAUGCCAGUUACCCGCA
rnacentral:rRNA from 1 species